UAAUGGGUCAGCGACUUAUAUUCUGUAGCAAGGUUAACCGAAUAGGGGAGCCGAAGGGAAACCGAGUCUUAACUGGGCGUUAAGUUGCAGGGUAUAGACCCGAAACCCGGUGAUCUAGCCAUGGGCAGGUUGAAGGUUGGGUAACACUAACUGGAGGACCGAACCGACUAAUGUUGAAAAAUUAGCGGAUGACUUGUGGCUGGGGGUGAAAGGCCAAUCAAACCGGGAGAUAGCUGGUUCUCCCCGAAAGCUAUUUAGGUAGCGCCUCGUGAAUUCAUCUCCGGGGGUAGAGCACUGUUUCGGCAAGGGGGUCAUCCCGACUUACCAACCCGAUGCAAACUGCGAAUACCGGAGAAUGUUAUCACGGGAGACACACGGCGGGUGCUAACGUCCGUCGUGAAGAGGGAAACAACCCAGACCGCCAGCUAAGGUCCCAAAGUCAUGGUUAAGUGGGAAACGAUGUGGGAAGGCCCAGACAGCCAGGAUGUUGGCUUAGAAGCAGCCAUCAUUUAAAGAAAGCGUAAUAGCUCACUGGUCGAGUCGGCCUGCGCGGAAGAUGUAACGGGGCUAAACCAUGCACCGAAGCUGCGGCAGCGACACUAUGUGUUGUUGGGUAGGGGAGCGUUCUGUAAGCCUGUGAAGGUGGCCUGUGAGGGUUGCUGGAGGUAUCAGAAGUGCGAAUGCUGACAUAAGUAACGAUAAAGCGGGUGAAAAGCCCGCUCGCCGGAAGACCAAGGGUUCCUGUCCAACGUUAAUCGGGGCAGGGUGAGUCGACCCCUAAGGCGAGGCCGAAAGGCGUAGUCGAUGGGAAACAGGUUAAUAUUCCUGUACUUGGUGUUACUGCGAAGGGGGGACGGAGAAGGCUAUGUUGGCCGGGCGACGGUUGUCCCGGUUUAAGCGUGUAGGCUGGUUUUCCAGGCAAAUCCGGAAAACCAAGGCUGAGGCGUGAUGACGAGGCACUACGGUGCUGAAGCGACAAAUGCCCUGCUUCCAGGAAAAGCCUCUAAGCAUCAGGUAACAUCAAAUCGUACCCCAAACCGACACAGGUGGUCAGGUAGAGAAUACCAAGGCGCUUGAGAGAACUCGGGUGAAGGAACUAGGCAAAAUGGUGCCGUAACUUCGGGAGAAGGCACGCUGAUAUGUAGGUGAAGCGACUUGCUCGUGGAGCUGAAAUCAGUCGAAGAUACCAGCUGGCUGCAACUGUUUAUUAAAAACACAGCACUGUGCAAACACGAAAGUGGACGUAUACGGUGUGACGCCUGCCCGGUGCCGGAAGGUUAAUUGAUGGGGUUAGCGGCAACGCGAAGCUCUUGAUCGAAGCCCCGGUAAACGGCGGCCGUAACUAUAACGGUCCUAAGGUAGCGAAAUUCCUUGUCGGGUAAGUUCCGACCUGCACGAAUGGCGUAAUGAUGGCCAGGCUGUCUCCACCCGAGACUCAGUGAAAUUGAACUCGCUGUGAAGAUGCAGUGUACCCGCGGCAAGACGGAAAGACCCCGUGAACCUUUACUAUAGCUUGACACUGAACAUUGAGCCUUGAUGUGUAGGAUAGGUGGGAGGCUUUGAAGUGUGGACGCCAGUCUGCAUGGAGCCGACCUUGAAAUACCACCCUU
rnacentral:rRNA from 1 species